GUAGGGUGCGAGCGUUAAUCGGAAUUACUGGGCGUAAAGCGUGCGCAGGCGGUUUCGUAAGUCAGAUGUGAAAGCCCCGGGCUUAACCUGGGAAUUGCGUUUGAAACUGCGAGGCUAGAGUGUGUCAGAGGGGGGUAGAAUUCCACGUGUAGCAGUGAAAUGCGUAGAGAUGUGGAGGAAUACCGAUGGCGAAGGCAGCCCCCUGGGAUAACACUGACGCUCAUGCACGAAAGCGUGGGGAGCAAACAGGAUUAGAUACCCUGGUAGUCCACGCCCUAAACGAUGUCAACUAGUUGUCGGGAGGGUAACCCUCUUGGUAACGCAGCUAACGCGUGAAGUUGACCGCCUGGGGAGUACGGUCGCAAGAUUA
rnacentral:rRNA from 1 species